GUAAUUAUUAUAGUUUUCAGACGCUGAUUUAAAAUUAAAAUGGUUAUAGGUUGUCAAUGGCAGGCAAGCCUGCCAAUGAAACUUGGGUACGCAAAAAAAGACAAGGAAGGAGAGGAGGGACCGAAAUCCCCCUCAUAACAGUGGAAAACCACCGAAAUUAAUGAUCCUUCCGCAGGUUCACCUACGGAAA
rnacentral:misc_RNA from 1 species